CCCUACAGCCUUUUCUCUUUCCCUCUUCUCCCUCUCUCUUCCCUAAGCUCUCUCUUACUCAGUACUGCGUUGCCUCUACCAAGCCCGAACGGUCGUCGUCCCAUCGCCGGAGUUGGACAUGCGCUAGCUCAGUCUAACCGUCGGCCCUCAAAACGUCGACCCCCGCGAGCUCACCACCGUACGCACCUCCCAGGGCUGUCAACCAAUGAUUCGAAGUCGUCCGCCUCUUGCACUUUCCAGCGAGAUUCCGACUGCCUCAAGCCUCCACAAGCCAAACCAUUACAAUAGAUCUUUGGGCUUCAAAACCCAUAUGGAGAUCGGACUCAACUGUCACCGGAUUUCAGUUUUUGUGUUCGCCAAAAAUCCAUGGAUUUCCAAGAGGUUUUGGCUCCAAUCCAAACACGGUCGGACUUAAGAGAAAUCGCUACCACCCUGAUGUUCCCCAAGCCUUAGGCUUCGAAGCCCAGCCACUGUUUUCCCGAACCACCACCAUGGGGUGGUGCUGCCGCCGUCGUCGCCGGAGCUUCGGUGAGGGUCUCGGCCAGCAACCACUUCUGGGUGUUUCAAGGUUUGUCUCGAGCUCCCAACAUCAUCCUCAACCUCUUUGCACUAUCCAGAGCGCUGUGGAUUAAAGACUAUGGGAAAAAUCUUGGUUGAUUGCUCUUGCUGAGCAAUCUUAUAUAUCUACGGACCUGAGAUAAGUAAAUCUCACCAUACAUGUUUUACUUGCUCAUAUGUUGAUUAAAUGGAUGUAUAUAAACUGCAUGACUUAUGUACUCUUAGAUAUUAUUAAGACGCAAACUCUAUGAACAUGUACGUGUUUCCUGGUUAUGUGGUAUGAGGUGUUUCAAUAAUUGAGAAAGAGUGAUAUGUGAAUGCAAGUGCUUUUUUAGGAAAUUUUUAAUAUAAUUGAUUUUGUACUUGUAGUUGCUUUGUCUAUGUAAUUAAGAAUGACAAACUUUAUGAUUAUGCAAGCAUGGUUUGAUUUUAUAUCUAUGGGUACUUUUUUGAUGAAUGAGUUUUGCGUCUCUCGAUGCUCUGCAGUUGGUAUGACUAGGGAGAACUUUGUAAAUUGUUGUGUUGUAAGUUAAUCUUGACUUUGUUGGCUGCAACAUGAAACAUGCUAGUGUAUUGUUUGUUCUAGUUAUUUACACUAGAUUGAUUAAGGGCUGAAUUAGUAAUGGCUAGGGGUACUAAUAAGUGUACAAAAUGUUUCAAUGAAAUCCAUUGAUUACUAGGCAAUACUUGUACUCAAGCUGAUGACUGGGGUAGGGGAAGCACAGUCGAUUGGCUGUGGACUGAUGGCCAGAGUAGGGGGAAGCACAGCUGAUUGACUAUUCGAGUUGAUGACCGAGGUAGGAGGAAGCACAGUCGAUUGGCUAUGAACUGAUGGUCGAGGUAGAGGGAAGCACGGUUGAUUGACUAUUCGAGCUGAAGACCGGGUUAGGGGGAAGCACAGUUGAUUGGCUAUGAACUGAUGGUCAGGGUAGGGGGAAGCACGGUCGAUUGACUAUGGACUGAUGACCGGGGUAGGGGAAGCAUGGUCGAAUGUCUAUUGAUUCGUAACCAAGGUACUCAGAGGGCGGGGGGAGUCCGGUUGGUGUGUGAAUUUUUUAUGGAAAUGUGAAUCCGGCUAGUUACCAGGAUGAUUUAAUUGUUGUGUUAUUGUGAAAUCCAGUGUGUGUACUAGGACCACGCUGUUGUAAAUCCAAUGAUUUCUAGGUAAUACUAGCACUCGAGCUGGUGACCGGGGUAGGGGAAGCAUGGUCGGCCAAUGAAAUGAUUUAAACAAGUAGAAAAUAACUCGUGAUUUUAGUAGUUGUGAUCUAAGAGGUGCCCGAAUACCUCUUUAUAAUUUUAUAAAUCUUCAGUGAUUUUUGUAGCCAUUGUAUAAUGGUGUUAUGCAUUUAUAUCUUAUAUCUACUUGUUCUAGAAUUUUCUGCGUGCAGGUUGAUAAUAUUAUUAGUUAUUAUCUCUGUGAGUUGAACGGCUGCUGUAAUAUUAGACUUGGUGCAAGUCAUGAACGAUUUGAAUUCAAUACUCAAAUUUUUGUUCAAUAGAGGUGAUCAGUCAAAUGAUGUGAUUAGUAAACCCAAUUUAGGAAAUUGUGUCAAGGACUUGUAAGAGUUUGAUCAUACUCCAUGACCAGUCUUAACAUGCUAAAGAGUACACAUAGUUUAUCGUUGUCCAGUUAGCCUUGUGACCUAAUUUAGGUGUCUCUUUCUUUAGCCUCAGGAUUUGUGUACACUGCUAACAUUUUGUAUGUUGGUUAGAGUGUUGAUUCCCGAGCCUUUAUACAGAAUAUGUUAUAGAAUAGCUAAAGGCUCUUUAAGGGAGAUUAUAGUCAUGUGAUAGUCACGAAAUUAAUAGUAGUGGGGUAGGAAGGUAAAAGUUCCCAGUUAGGGUUUAUGUAAAUAGGUGCUCCUGAGAUUAUCAUAGACCUUAGCAUUGGCACGAAAUAACGUUUUGACCAUUGCGGUCUUGAGGGUGUGGUAUCACCGUAAUUACUAAACUUGUUGCCACCCCUUAGUGAAAGGUUAUAGCGGAACCCUAGUUGAGGGAUUUUAUUUUGCAUAGUACUAUGAUAUUGGAUUAACAUAAUCCUAUGCUAUUUUCUUUUAGUAGUUAAUACUUGUGGCCACUACUUUGUCAAAUUUAUAAUUGAUUAUUGGAGCAUGAAUUUAUAGUGUAUGAAUUAAUGAUGACCGAAUGUGGACACAUAUGAGUGUCCUAUGCAUGUUACACUCAUGGCUAUGUUAUCCUGCCAUGCAUCAUCAAGUUACAAUAUAAGUAUAUAGGCAUACAUUCAAUGCAUGGGAUUUACUUACUGGGUGUGAGCUCAUUAAUUUGUUGUUUCCUCCUUUUCAGGUGUGGCUUGAUACUUGGAUCUCUUGUGGACUUUGGACUUAGUAACAAUGACUUUUAUGGAUGGUAUUUUUAGAAGUCUUGUAUUA